rnacentral:rRNA from 1 species
CCUACGGGAGGCAGCAGUAGGGAAUAUUGCUCAAUGGGGGAAACCCUGAAGCAGCCACGCCGCGUGGGGGAUGAAGGUUUUAGGAAUGUAAACUCUUUUUUUUCGGGAAGCUUAUGCCGGUAUCUAACGACUAAGCACCGGCUAAAUCCGGGACGGCAGCCGUGGUACUACGGAGGGUGCAAGCGUAACUCGGAAUCACUGGGCGUAAAGAGUGCGUAGGCGGGGUAAUAAGUCAGCUGUGAAAUCCUGUAGCUUAACUACAGAACUGCAUUUGAAACUGGUACUCUGGAGUGUGGGAGAGGUAUGUGGAAUGCGUGGUGUAGGGGUAAAAUCCGUAGAGAUCGAGAGGAAUACUCAUUGCGAAGGCGACCUGCUGGAACAUUACUGACGCUGAUGCACGAAAGCGUGGGUAGCAAACAGGAUUAGAUACCCGAGUAGUC